AACUGCAGCAAAAAGAAGAAGAUAAGAGCUUCCCUAAUGCAACAAGUUCUAUUCCUGAUACCAGGUUUAAUCGAGAGAAAAAGAUCAGUAGUAACCUGCAAACAACAGUGAAAAAGGCUUUCUCCAUGAGAAGAUCUUCAUCUAUUUCUGAAAAGUAUUGCAGGAUCCAUGAUCAUUCUUUGAAUCUUCAAUCUGAAUGCGAAGAUGAAGAAGAAUCGCAGGUAAAGGGAUCUACAAACAAGAAGGGAAGUGUUGUUCUAAAAGCCUGUAAGCGCAUUUUUCGAAUUUGAUUUCAGAGAUCAAACAAAUUAAUAAAUAAUAACUUUGCAUGUUAAAAAUUACUUUUAAACACCAAACCUUCUAAAACUACAUGUUUUAAAUACAUGACAUGCCAUUUUAUUUUUGCAAUGAAACUAAUUAAAGCUUGUUAUUAUUGUAAGAGAAUUCCAGCUAAGUUUUAAAUGAAUCACAAUAAAAGUUUUAUGUUAUCAUACAGUUUUUUAUUCUAUGCUGUAGUGAUUAUAAAUUGUAAACUUUUUUUUGGGCUAAAUGUAAUGCUUCAGUUACCCGUAUGCUAAUUUCAUUUCUGCUUCCCAUGUUCAUUUUGUAAAUUCGAAUGAUUAAUAGUUGAUUGAUCAUCCAUGAAUAUUAUACAUUGUAAUUGUAAAGUUUUAUACAAUCAUAGUGUUUUCAUGUCUUUAUUAAAAUGAGUGGUGGAAACAAAAUUGAAUAAAAUGACGCACAUAAGUUUUUUACAAUUGUAUUAGAUAUUUAGAACCAUAUAAUUGAUAGAUCAAUAACUUGGAUUAAUAAUUAAAAACAGUUAUUACAAUAUUAAGUAAACAAUAGUCAAUUAUCUUGUUUACAACGUUAUUUGAACCUAUGACAAAAGAAAUGAUUCAAACAACAAAAGAGAAUGCUACAAAAGUCAAAUUUGUUUCUUUCAACUACUUUUUCUGGCUUUAAUUCAAACAAGAAGAAUUAAAAAUUAGUAAUAUAUUUCAAUUAAAACAUAUUUUAAUUCAAACCAAUCUGAAUUAACUAAACUUUUUUUUCUUUCAAUUAAACCACAAAUUGAAAUCAAUAAUAACCUUGUAAACGUAAAUUAAUCUGUUAACUUAUGAUCAUACUAGGCGAAUUCCAGUCUUGAUUCUUUUAUCGGGUAGUCGGUGGUUAGAAAUUGGUAUCACCAAGUUAGUAAAAUUCAUCAACGUCCGGAUUACUGGAGACCUCCGAGUUAAAAUACAAAGUCUCUAUCAAGUGGGUUGGUCCCACAUUGAUGUUUAAUUAAGGAUAGAGAACUUUUAACUCAUUGGUAAAAAUAAAUGAUUGAAUUAAGUUAGUGACUAUGGUAGUGUUUGUUUUUUAUCUGCAGAUCUGCGUGGCCUCUUCUGUCUGCGCCGCACAGACCACGCGCAGACAUUAGCCUUCGCAGACUGUUUGUUUUUUUGAAAACCGCAGACCUAAAAAUGUAUGUGCGCCCUCUUCUUGGCGCAGAUAUGAACUAAAGUCUUCUAACAUCUUCAGACAUCUUCUAGCCAAAAAAAACAUAUAUAAACAAUUUGAAAAAAAAAAUUACAAAACUUAAAAAAAAAACGUUCGACGAUACAAACAUGAUAUUUUUAUUUUUAUACAAUAAUACAUAAACGUUAAUCUAGAUUCGUUAAUUAUUUAUAACAAAGUCAUAAAAGUAUUAAAAAAUCAUUUUGAAGUUUAAAAAAAUCAGUUUAUUUUAGUAGCCCGUAGAUGUUACAAAAACAAACAGUCUUCUUUUUUCAGAGUGCAGACGUUUGGUCCACCUCUUCUACUAAAGAGGUCUACAAAUGUGGUCCGCAGAGUCCAGACAUUUUGCUUCAGAAAAAACAAACAGCACCUAUGUGUGGUUAAGUAGUCGAAAGUUUAAGAGUUUGUGUAACUUUCAAAUGAAUUAUGCAUUAAGAUAACAUUUANAACCUGCAAACAACAGUGAAAAAGGCUUUCUCCAUGAGAAGAUCUUCAUCUAUUUCUGAAAAGUAUUGCAGGAUCCAUGAUCAUUCUUUGAAUCUUCAAUCUGAAUGCGAAGAUGAAGAAGAAUCGCAGGUAAAGGGAUCUACAAACAAGAAGGGAAGUGUUGUUCUAAAAGCCUGUAAGCGCAUUUUUCGAAUUUGAUUUCAGAGAUCAAACAAAUUAAUAAAUAAUAACUUUGCAUGUUAAAAAUUACUUUUAAACACCAAACCUUCUAAAACUACAUGUUUUAAAUACAUGACAUGCCAUUUUAUUUUUGCAAUGAAACUAAUUAAAGCUUGUUAUUAUUGUAAGAGAAUUCCAGCUAAGUUUUAAAUGAAUCACAAUAAAAGUUUUAUGUUAUCAUACAGUUUUUUAUUCUAUGCUGUAGUGAUUAUAAAUUGUAAACUUUUUUUUGG
rnacentral:lncRNA from 1 species